rnacentral:lncRNA from 10 species
CUCAAGUGAUUCUCCCACCUUGGCCUCCCAAAGUACUGGGAUUACAGGCAUGAGCCACCACACCCAGCCCUUGGCCUCAAGCUCUUCUGCUGCUAGAGCCUGUCAUUUUGGGUCUGCCCCAUUCUGCAAGUUCAGGGAUUGAGUAGCACUAAGAGGCCACUCCUGAUGAGGAGCUCAGGCCCAGGCUGAGAUCCUGGAGCUGUGAUCUGUCCCCAAGGGCUAGACAAGAACAUCUGGGGACAGGCAGGGGGUAAACUUGGGGCCCGCAUUCCAGUGUGGGUAAACCAGGGCAGGUGAUGGCAAUGGGGAAGGCACAGGCAACACCACACUCCCGGAGGCAACAGUGA